rnacentral:rRNA from 1 species
AGAGUUUGAUCCUGGCUCAGGACGAACGCUGGCGGCGUGCUUAACACAUGCAAGUCGAGCGGAAAGGCCCUUCGGGGUACUCGAGCGGCGAACGGGUGAGUAACACGUGAGCAAUCUGCCCCCUAGCUUCGGGAUAGCUCCGGGAAACCGGGAUUAAUACCGAAUAUGACUGCGGUCGACAUCGGCGCGUGGUGGAAAGAUUUAUCGGCUAGGGAUGAGCUCGCGGCCUAUCAGCUUGUUGGUUGGGGUAACGGCCCACCAAGGCGACGACGGGUAGCCGGCCUGAGAGGGCGACCGGCCACACUGGGACUGAGACACGGCCCAGACUCCUACGGGAGGCAGCAGUGGGGAAUAUUGCGCAAUGGGCGAAAGCCUGACGCAGCGACGCCGCGUGCGGGAUGAAGGCCUUCGGGUUGUAAACCGCUUUCAGCAGGGACGAAGCGAAAGUGACGGUACCUGCAGAAGAAGCGCCGGCUAACUACGUGCCAGCAGCCGCGGUAACACGUAGGGCGCAAGCGUUGUCCGGAAUUAUUGGGCGUAAAGAGCUCGUAGGUGGCCCGCCACGUCUGUUGUGAAAAUCCAGGGCUUAACCCUGGACUUGCUGCGGAUACGGGCGGGCUAGAGGUAGGUAGGGGAGAAUGGAAUUCCCGGUGUAGCGGUGAAAUGCGCAGAUAUCGGGAGGAACACCGGUGGCGAAGGCGGUUCUCUGGGCCUUACCUGACACUGAGGAGCGAAAGCGUGGGGAGCGAACAGGAUUAGAUACCCCGGUAGUCC